rnacentral:rRNA from 1 species
UACGUAGGGUGCGAGCGUUGUCCGGAAUUAUUGGGCGUAAAGAGCUUGUAGGCGGUUUGUCGCGUCUGCCGUGAAAAUUCGAGGCUCAACCUCGAACUUGCGGUGGGUACGGGCAGACUAGAGUGUGGUAGGGGAGACUGGAAUUCCUGGUGUAGCGGUGAGAUGCGCAGAUAUCAGGAGGAACACCGGUGGCGAAGGCGGGUCUCUGGGCCGAUACUGACACUGAGGAGCGAAAGCGUGGGGAGCGAACAGG